GGGCCCGCACAAGCGGAGGAACAUGUGGUUUAAUUCGAUGAUACGCGAGGAACCUUACCCGGGCUUAAAUUGCAACUGAAUAAUUGAGAGAUCAGUUAGCUAGCAAUAGCAGUUGUGAAGGUGCUGCAUGGUUGUCGUCAGCUCGUGCCGUGAGGUGUCGGCUUAAGUGCCAUAACGAGCGCAACCCUUGUCGAUAGUUACUAACAGGUUAUGCUGAGGACUCUAUCGAGACUGCCAUCGUAAGAUGUGAGGAAGGUGGGGAUGACGUCAAAUCAGCACGGCCCUUACGUCCGGGGCUACACACGUGUUACAAUGGAGGGUACAGAAGGCAGCUACACGGCGACGUGAUGCUAAUCCCGAAAACCUUUCUCAGUUCGGAUCGAAGUCUGCAACCCGACUUCGUGAAGCUGGAUUCGCUAGUAAUCGCGCAUCAGCCAUGGCGCGGUGAAUACGUUCCCGGGCCUU
rnacentral:rRNA from 1 species